UGGGGAAUCUUGCGCAAUGCGCGAAAGCGUGACGCAGCAACGCCGCGUGCGGGAAGACGGCCUUCGGGUUGUAAACCGCUUUCAGUUGGGACGAAGCUUCGCCGGUGAAUAGCCGGCUGGAGUGACGGUACCUUCAGAAGAAGCCCCGGCUAACUACGUGCCAGCAGCCGCGGUAAUACGUAGGGGGCAAGCGUUGUCCGGAAUCAUUGGGCGUAAAGCGCGUGUAGGCGGCUUGAUAAGUCUGCUCUGAAAGCCCGGGGCUCAACCCCGGGAGGCGGGUGGAUACUGUCAAGCUCGAGUCCGGAAGAGGAGUGUGGAAUUCCUGGUGUAGCGGUGAAAUGCGCAGAUAUCAGGAGGAACACCAAUGGCGAAGGCAGCACUCUGGGACGUGACUGACGCUGAGACGCGAAAGCGUGGGGAGCAAACAGGAUUAGAUACCCCCGUAGUCC
rnacentral:rRNA from 1 species